CCUACGGGUGGCAGCAGUGGGGAAUAUUGCACAAUGGGGGAAACCCUGAUGCAGCGACGCCGCGUGAGUGAAGAAGUAAUUCGUUAUGUAAAGCUCUAUCAGCAGGGAAGAAAAUGACGGUACCUGAGUAAGAAGCCCCGGCUAACUACGUGCCAGCAACCUCGGUAAUACGGAGGGGGCAAGCGUUCUCCGGCUUUACUGGGUUUAAAGGGAGCGUAGCCGGCAGUGCAAGUCUGGAGUGAAAGGCGCGGGCUCAACCCCCGGACUGCUCUGGAAACUGUACGGAUGGAGUGCAGGAGAGGUAAGUGGAAUUCCUAGUGUAGCGGUGAAAGGCGUAGAUAUUAGGAGGAACACCAGUGGCGAAGGCGGCUUACUGGACUGUAACUGACGUUGAGGCUCGAAAGCGUGGGGAGCAAACAGGAUUAGAGACCCCAGUAGUC
rnacentral:rRNA from 1 species